rfam:Anas platyrhynchos breed Pekin duck contig23328, whole genome shotgun sequence.
UAAAAGGCUCUUUUCAGAGCCACCCACAAUAUCAUAGAAGAGCUC